rnacentral:lncRNA from 1 species
CUAAUAUCUCAAAGACUAGUUGAUAAAAUGUUCAUAAGAAAGAAAUGAAAUUCUAAUGGAAAUGUUUCACAAUGAUGUUAAUAGGCAGAGCAGGCAACAGAUGGCACACAGACAGCAGAGUUGGGGACAGAUAUGCAGGGACAGACUGGCAGAGACAUGGGAGUCUCAGAUAUGGUAAUGAAGUUACCCUUCUGUACAGCUCGAUUCUCUCUGUAGCUGCUCAGAGUUCUCCUUUUCUCUCUCUCCACCUUCCUCGCCGCAGCUGUGACUUGUGAAGGGGGCCAGCCCAGCCGUAUAUUCAGGCUGCUUUUAAUUGUCCAUUGGGCUACAGAAUGAGGUUCGAGGAGAGAGGUUUACAGAGGAGGCUGGAGAAUUUAAGAAAGGACCAGAAUUAUGAAUGUUCAGACUGGAGCUUUCUGACAAUUCAUUAAAAAGCUCCCCUGGGAGAAGCCUCAGCGGUCUGGAGAGAAUUAUACUGCCUGUUACGGCAGGGACUGAGAGAUUGCCACUCCAUGGCCACCCCACUCUCAGGGACACUGCUCAUCUGGCAAGGGCUGAAUGUUGCUCAUCAUGUCUCAGAGAUCUAUCACAGAGCUCCUUCAGACUCUGCUGCUGAAGUUACAAUCCUCUGUCCUUAUUUCAUUUCCAGACAUUGAACAAGUAGGUCAAGACUGGAUGUUGAAAAAGUCAACUGUCGUGAGUGAGCAUUUCCAUGAAGUUUGAAUAUAGAGAUGGAGAUAUCUGUGAUAAAAUCUGACCUCUGGCACUUUCCCAGUGAAUUAGUCAAAUGAGUAACUGUUAGGGUAUCAUUAUUUUGGAUUUGGCUGCUGCUGAGAACAGUACGUGAUGAACUCCUUAGAGUGAAUUAUUUUGUAUAGAUCUUUAUUGAGGACCUGAUAUUACGAAAAGGCUACAAUUUGUGGUGACGAUGAUGACACAUGAACUUGACAUGUUCUGACUGUUGACCAAUAAUGUCACGACUUCGGCCGAAGUCGGGUCCUCUCCUUGUUCGGGCGGUGCUCGGUGCUCGGCGUCGCCGGUCUUCUAGCCAUCAUCGAUCCACUUUUCAUUUUCCAUAUGUUUUGUCUUGUUUUUCCUCACACCUGGUUUCAAUUCCCUCAAUCACUUGUUGUGUAUUUAACCCUCUGUUCCCCCCAUGUCUUUGUGUGGAAUUGUUCAUUGUAAGUGCACGUGUUGAUUGGUGCGCGACGGGUUUUUGUACCCAAUUCUUGUUAUUUUUAUGCCGUUGGUUUUGUUAUUGAACUGCUCUGGCUAUUAUCAAGUUCUGCUCUCCUGCGUCUGACUUCCCUGCCACCGGUUACGCACCCCUCACAAAUAUCCUUCCAUAACACACACACACACACACUCAC